GAGAUAUUUAUACUUUAAGAAGAGCCAGAGAAAUACAAAAUCCAGUCAAGUCAUAUGGGCAAUUAGAUGGAGGUGGCAGACUUUGUCUAUGAGUAGACAGAAAAAUUAGGUAUGUACAUUUCCAGUCUAACAGAUGGCAGACUACUUAAAAACCUAGUUCUUUAGGCAUCAAGUGCUUAAUGCAGCAACUAUAAAACGAUGCUCAGUAAAUCCCAUCAGUGUCAAAGGCAAGAAUCCAAUCCUUGCCCAGGCCAAAGUGUUCUCUGAACAUGAAGACACUUUGGGAUUGUUUUGUUUCACAUAAAGAAACUUUGAACAAGCUGAAAGGGUGGUCACAAAAAUGACGUGGAAUUGUAACUUCAAUAUGCUGGUGGUGGGUAUCAACUUUUUUCUAA
rnacentral:lncRNA from 1 species